rnacentral:rRNA from 1 species
UACGGAGGGUGCGAGCGUUGUCCGGAAUCAUUGGGCGUAAAGGGCGCGUAGGUGGCCCGGUCAGUUCGUGGUGAAAGCGCGGGGCUCAACCCUGCGUCGGCCAUGAAUACUGCCGCGGCUGGAGCACUGUAGAGGCAGGCGGAAUUCCGGGUGUAGCGGUGGAAUGCGUAGAGAUCCGGAAGAACACCGGUGGCGAAGGCGGCCUGCUGGGCAGUGCUGACACUGAGGCGCGGACAGCGUGGGGAGCAACAGG